ACGCUCGACACCUAGUGAGGCAGCAGUAGGGAAUCUUCCACAAUGGACGCAAGUCUGAUGGAGCAACGCCGCGUGAGUGAAGAAGGUCUUCGGAUCGUAAAACUCUGUUGUUAGAGAAGAACACGAGUGAGAGUAACUGUUCAUUCGAUGACGGUAUCUAACCAGCAAGUCACGGCUAACUACGUGCCAGCAGCCGUGGUAAUCUGAGCGGGCUGGCAAGGC
rnacentral:rRNA from 1 species